CUCACUUGACUUGUGUGACCGCUUGUUUGCGUCACUUCCGUUGCCUAGCAGUAACGCGAAAUGCCGAUGGGAGUCAGGAAGUGGUUAGCAGCCGUCGGAGCAGAAACAUGACACAUAAGAGAAAUGCUCAAGUGAAACUGUCCAUCAGUUACUGGAUGAGAAUCAACACUACCUGAGUCUGCUGACUUCUCUGCUGCGUAACGCCACCCAGGAGAUGGAGCAGACGGAUCAGGACUGGAGCGGGACUUCCAUCCAGAGCAGCUGAAGCUGAACCCCAGAAGCCGUAGUAGAGACUGAUCAAAGAGCGCAACCGAUGUCAAGAGAUUAUGUCAUAAACAAGUGCCUUAUCAUCAGAGUAACAACCUAAAGCUUUGUGAUUCCAUACCGUCUUUAACAUCCAUGUGAAGCUGCAAGACAAUGUGUGAAGCAACCAGAUUUAGUAAGCUAUUCAUGUUCAACUUAAAUGUUUGUUAUUUAACUGUAAAAGCUAUUUCCAGCUGUAAGCAAGACUUCUUGUUGAUAUUUCUUGAAGGAAAACCCUGCUGCUGGUGAAGUAUGCAACGUGAAAUGUCAAUAAACGUUGUGAGUGUAUGUUUUACAUGUAUGUUUUGUCUUUCAGUAGCUGUUGAUAUUUUGCUGUGUGGGAGGCAUGAGUGAAAGAAAAUAAAAUUGACUUCCCAAACCUC